UCGUCCAGGAGCUCCACGAGGAGAGGAGCUCCUCUUCGUUGUCCCAGCAGCAGUCGUGCCCCGCGCCCCUUGCUUCCCGCCGGCGAGCAUCAUCACGCCCCGGUCGCGUGCCCCUGCCUCUCUCUCCAUCUUCCUCCCUCCGCUGAUCUCUCUCCCUCUCAAAUAUGUCUCAUUUCUUUUUUCGGGAGAGCCUUCAUGGAAGCCCGAGCUCCGCCCGGAGCAGCUUGACGGGUGCCGUCGUCGAGCCCCUAGCGACCCCACCGACCUGAUCCACCAAGCCGCCGUCCCAAUCCGCCUUCGCUGCAGAGGCCGCCGUCGCCUGAGCCCCUGCAAGCCGCACUGCCUCCUUCUGUCGGGGGCAGGCAGAGGAAGCCGCCCCUGUUUGUUGACCUCCACGCCCGCGUGGGCCUCUCCAGCCGCAGCGCCUCAAGGCCCAGCUCGCCCCGGCCCAGUGGCCACGCUGAUGAGCGCCCGCCUGCAAACCCUCGCGCCAGGGCGCUGUUGAAUAUGUCGCGCCCACUGUUUCGUCCCGUAUAGUUUUUUCCCAGUUCUGCGAAUUAGGCUAUUUAUCCAUUAGAUUUACAGAUUUGCAUAACAGUCCUCCAUGUUCAUGCAUAUAAAAACUCAACAACCAUGCCUUGGAAUUAAACAUUUCAUAUAUGUAGAAUGCUUAGAAUUUCAUCUAGUUUCAUAAUAUGCAACUUUCAUCCAUGAUAAAAAUGUUUAAAAUAAUUUUUACAUUUGUUUUGCAUAAAUAACAUGCUAAAAUGGUUUAUUUCAUAACUAAAUAACUGUAGCUCCGAAUUAAGUAAACUAUAUAUGUAAAUUGUCUAGAAAAAUGCAUAGAUUAACAUGGUGGCAUUACUUUGCAUGUCUAACAACAAUAAGAUUGUGUUUAGAUCAGAACAGUAUUAAAUUCGAAAAUUGCAUAUAGGGAUUUCUCGGAAUUGUUGUUUGUUAUUUCUGGCCUCAUUUAAAUUUGCCUAAAUAGUUAGUUUACUUAUGCUUCACCUCUUGCCAUGUUAACCAACAUUUAAUUUUAAUUAGUAGCAUAAACGGGAGCGAACUAAAUAUUUGAAUGUGGUGUUUCGUCAAUAUGCAAAUUGAGCUCCACUUAAUUUGUAGUAUUGUUUUUUGCACUUUGCCAUGCCAUGACUCAUUAAAUCGGACAUGCAUCAUACUUGGUUGCACAUCAUGUCAUGUUUAUGCUUGUUGGUUUACCAUGUUGUUUGCUUCUUUCCGGUUGUGUUUCUUCUCGAUAGUUCCAGUUACGUUGCGAUUGUGAGGAUUCGUUCGACUAUGUUGUUUCAUCUACUUCAUGGAUUCGGUCUUCUUCCUAGCGGGAUUUCAGGCAAGAUGAUCAUUAUCCUGGAUACCACUACUAUCUUUGCUUUGCUAGUUGUCUCGUUGCUAUCGCUAUGUUGCGCUACCUACCACUUGUUUAUCAAGCCUCCCAAUAUGUCAUGAUAAGCCUCUAACCUUUUUCACCAUCCCAGCAAACCGUUGUUUGGCUAUUUUACCACUUUGCUCAGCCCCUCUUGUAGUGUUGAUAGUUGCAGGUGCAAUUUCAGGUUGUUCCAUGUUGGGACAUGGAUAUCAUGGGAUAUCACAAUAUCUCUUAUUUAAUUAAUGCAUCUAUAUACUUAGUAAAGGGUAGAAGGCUCGGCCUUUUCCUGGUGUUUUGUUCCACUCUUGCCGCCCUAGUUUCCGUCAUACCGAUGUUAUGUUCCUUGAUUUUGUGUUCCUAACACGGUCGGGGUUUAUGGGCCCCUCUUGACAGUUCGCUUUGAACAAAUCUCUUCCAGCAAGGGGGGCCCAUAAACCAAAGUGUCCCGGGGAGUUGAGCUCCAAGGUGUUUUCGUCACAGUGCUUAUAGUUUCAGUUCCGGAAUACCAGAGGACACCGACAUCGAAAACGCUACUAUACUCUUUGUGGUGAGAGUAGUUUGGCGCCACCCAGUACUGGGGAGAGCGAUCAGAUGUAUUGCCAUAGCUAGUAUAGCUGCUGUCCUUCAAAGGUCUGAGGUACACAAUUUCUGAGGUUCUUGGUUUUGUGUUGAUGGAGGCAGUACAUUUGGAGCAUAGAAUUCUGCUAGGAGUUGUGUGAUGAUAUUUUGCUUCUUGUACUUGUAGUACCGGAUUGCAUAACCAAAAAUUUCAGGAGCUCAUAGGUGGGAAUUCAAGUAGUUACCUAGAAUUAUCCUUCCAACAAAUGCAUGACGGGGUUAUGUAUUUGUUUCCGGCUUAUUUUGCAGCCCAAUCCUUUGUUUUUUUUUUGGUUGUGGUAUUCGAGUUGCUUCGAAGUCGAGUGUUGAUUCCAUACCUUUUCCUAAGCGGUGUUCUCAUAUUUCUAUGGGAGUGCUAAUCCUUCUUGAUCAUCGAGAUUGUCAUGUCAAUCCUUUUCGACCGGUUCACUUCUCUUCAAGUUAUUCCAUACGGGCGCCAUUGAGAAGCCUGAGGAUUCAUUAAUUUCAUCCGUCCCAAGUUGCAUUUGUUUUUUUUUCACCAUCCCUUCCUUUUCUUCAAGGACUCAGAUUUCUUAAUCAAGUAUCCAUUUUAUUGAUGUGAAGUCUCUUCAUUAUUUUCCAUCAAUGUUCUAAUCCGGUGAUUCUCAUGAAGAUGCUAAUGAAGUUUCAAGUUAAUCAUUCUUUCAUUCUUGCUUUUUCCAGAAGAUUCAAUUCAAGCUUUCAUUGUUGAUCAUAUCCCUUUGAUUCAAAUGCUUUCCAUGUUGGAAUUUCUUAUGCAAGGCUCUCUUAUUUAUUCACCUCUCUCUAUUCAUAUCCAGAGUGCUGAAGAUAUAUCAGAAGAUUCGGGUUUCCAUUCCUAAUCCGUUCAAGCUAGUUCGAGUUUGUUAUCUCAUUCAAGCCAUUUAAAUCAACUGGUGCAAUCUCUCUUUCAAGCAAUCAUUUCCAACGGUGUUUUCUUUUGAGUGGCCCUAACCCAGACGUCUUUUCCUAGGAUCUUACCUGACUCUUCUAAUUUUUUCCAGAGUGAUUCUCAAAUUCUUUUCCAAGUUUGACGAAAGAAUGAAUUUCAUCAGUCAAAUGCCUUCUCCAAGAUCGUUUUCAAAUUAUUUUCACCUUUGGCUCAACCUUUAUAUUCUUCAUUCUUCCGGAGAAUCUCACAAAUUUUUCAUGGUGGUUCUCGUCGUCAUUCUCAACAUUUGAAGAUCGAAGAAGAGUUUCUCUUAAAUCUUUGUCCUUUCUCUCGAAGAUUCAUAGUUCAAGCUAGAUGCCAUCCUCUCAAAUUCUUUCCAAUCGUGACAAUUCUUUUCAUACCCAUCUCAAGCAUUUCAGUAGAUUCUUUCCUUUCUCGAUCAUCCGAAUGCCAUCAUUUCAGAAGAUUUAUUCAUUCUCAACAUUCAGCUCUCAUUCCCCAAUUCUUUUGGUGCAUCAUUCAAGUAUUCUCUAGUCAGCUCAUGAUCUCUUCGUCUCUUGCAUCUAAAUUCCCUCAAGUAUCUUCAUUUGUUUUCUAAAUUCUUCCCAGUGAUUCGUUCACUUUUUUUCAAUGUUUUCAAUUAUUUUCUUCCGGAGUUCGUUCAUGGUAUCAAUUUCUUGGUUCUAAGUUUUUCAUCUUUUCUUUUCCGGAGUUUCAAGUUUUCUCGGUUGUCUCGUCUUGAAGCUCUAAUUCAUUGCAAGACUCCAAUCUUAUUCUUUUCAACCGUCAUUUCUUUUCUAGUAUCCUUUUAGUCUGGAGUUCUUCCAAGAGGUUAUACGUGGUGGUUCAUCAAGAUUUAAUGUUUUCUCGAAGUGUUCUUCAAGAUUUUGUUGGGGGAGCUCAAGUAUACUUCUUCAUGAAUUUUGAAGUGCAAUUCUUCUACCUUAUCCUGAGGUGGUCUUAUGUCAUUUCUUGACAAUUUCCCUUCGUGUUUCAUGAUUCACAUGCUGUCAAGAAUGAGGUAUUUUAAACCCAUCAAUCUCUUCAUUGGAGUUAUCUUGGUAUAGAUUUCACCUAAAGCCUCCCCUAAGGAAUGUUGCUAAUUAUGGUGCCUAUCGAUAAUCCAAGUUCUCUCCUAUUCUCUCGGUGGAGGAAGUUAUCAUCUCUUCGUUGCUCUCAAGCAAUCAAUUGUUUUCGUUAGUGGCAGAAUAUCAUCUCUACUUUUGAGAUGUUUCCAUAAGCCCACGAGGAGCAUAUCAUUUCAUUGUUGAUUUUUUUCAAGAACUCCAUUCAAGCCUUUCUCCUAAGGAUGCUCUUUCAAAUUCAUUUGUGGUAGAAGUUGUUGUUCUCUUCUCCGUUCUUUUCAUUCCACUCUUUCAUUAGUUCCGGAGGAAUUGUGUUGUUGCUCUCGUCAAAUAUCAUCCCAUCUUGUCAGGUUCAUGUUCUAUUUCUUGCAUCUCUUUUCAACCGGAGUGCUGCCCUAAUUCUUCCUUCCACAUCUUGUUUCAACCGGAGUGGUUUCAAAGUAUAUCGUCUUCCUUAAGCUCUUGGUUCUUGUCGUAUUCCUUGUUCCUCUUAUCUAAUGGAGUGUUUCAAUUUCUUUCAUCUUCGUCAUGUCAUUUCUUCAAGUUUUGUACCUCUCAAGGUUUGUUGGUUUCACUCGUUUGUCAAAGAAGCAACUUAGUAUUACCUCUUCUCUCUGUUUCAUUCUUAGAUCUCGGGGCGAGAUCUCUUGUAAGUGGGGGAGAGUUGUAACGACCCGAGACCAACGCUCCAGAUGCCUUCCAUAUAUUCUGUUGUCGUCGUGUGUUUUAAUCAUUUGUUGCAUUCAUCAUCACAUCAUGCGCAUUGCAUCUGCAUGUUUUCAUAAAGCUUGCUUCCGUUCGUAGUUGCCGCGUCCCCCCUUGCCUUCGUUGACCGUUCCGAGACCAACCGGGUUUUUUGAGUCCCUCUUGUCUGGCCGCAUAAUCUCUCUGCACAGUGCACAGACCCACUCGCAACCAAGUUCGAAACUUCCCCGAACCCGAACCGGGUUGUCGUGACCGAUGGCUCCGGAUCAUCCCCAAACAUCCCUAAAACAUCUUCGGUUCAUUGUUUAGACUUCCUAACCCAUUUAUUCCGGGCCGUCCGAUUACGAUCGGAGGGACCGAAUAGCCCCUAAGCUAAUCCACCUGCUAUAUAACCAGACCAAACCCUAAAAUCUUGGGAGAUAUCUCAUCCAUCUCGUCUCGUCGCCGCCAGCCAACUACCCACUCUUCUCCCACCUCGGGAUCCAUCACUCACCAACCAUCGCUCGCCACCUACAGCCUCCAGAUCCCCUCGCCCUCCUCUCUGCUCGAGGCCCUUGCCGACGACAGGAGCUUCACCCCCACCGGCCAGCCUCCUCCACGCCACCAGAUCAGAGCCCCGUGCUCCCCACCACCUCAUCCUCGCAAGCACUGCCACCAGGGCGCCACCUCACUGGCCUCUAUCGCUCCUCCCGUGCGCCUGCACCAGACCUCGGCCCCGCGCCCUCGUCUGCUCCGUUGAGCCUCUCCACUGCCGGCGACCACCAGCACCUCCCAGAACUGCCCCGUGCCCGUGCUACCACAUACCCCUCGUCCAGGAGCUCCACGAGAAGAGGAGCUCCUCUUUGUUGUCCCAGCAGCAGUCGUGCCCCGCGCCCCUUGCUUCCCGCCGGCGAGCAUCAUCAUGCCCCGGUAGCGUGCCCCUGCCUCUUUCUCCAUCUUCCUCCCUCCCCUGAUCUCUCUUCCUCUCACAUCUAUCUCAUUUCUUUUUACGGCAGAGCCUCCAUGGAAGCUCGAGCUCCGCCUGGAGCAACUUGAAGGGUGCCGUCGUCGAGCCCCUACAUCACCUGAGCGACCCCGUCGAUCGGAUCCACCAGGUCGCCGUCCUGAUCCGCCUUCGCUGCACAGGCCGCCGUCGCCUGAGCUCCUGCAAGCCGCACUGCCUCCUUCUGACGGGGGCAGGCACAGGGAGUCGCCCCUGUUCGUUGACCUCCACUUCCGCGUGGGCCUCUCCAGCCGCAGCACCUCAAGGCCCAGCUCGCCCCGGCCCAGUGGCCACGCUGGUGAGCGCCCGCCUGCAAACCCUCGCCCCUGGGCGCUGUUGAAUAUGUCGCGCCCACUGUUUCAGCCCGUAAAGUUUUUUCCCAGUUCUGAGAAUUUAGCUAUUUAUCCAGAGAUUUGCCGAUUUGCAAAAAAGUCCUCCAUGUUCAUGCAUGUAAAAACUCAACAACCGUGCAUCGGAAUUAAACAUGGCGUAUAUGUAAAAUGCUUUGAAUUUCAUCUAGUUUCAUAAUAUGCAACUUUCAUCCAUGAUAAAAAUGUUUAAAAUAAUGUUUACAUUUGUCUUGCAUAAAUAACAUGCUAAAAUGGUUUAUUUCAUAACUAAAUAACCGUAGCUCCGAAUUAAGUAAACUAUAUAUGUAAAUUGUCUAGAAAAAUGCAUAGAUUAACAUGGUUGCAUUACUUUGCAUGUCUAACAACAAUAAAAGUGUGUUUAGAUCAGAACAGUACCAAAUUCGAAAAUUGCAUAUGGGGAUCUCUAGGAAUUGUUGUUUGUUAUUUCCGGCCUCAGUUAAACUUGCCUAAAUAGUUAGUUUACUUAUGCUUCACCUCUUGCCAUGUUAACCAACAUUUAAUUUUGAUUAGUAGCAUAAACGGGAGCGAACUAAAUAUUUGAAUGUGGUGUUUCAUCAAUAAGCAACUCGUUGCAUAUUGAGCUCCACUUAAUUUGUAGUAUUGUUUGUUGCACUUUGCGAUGCCAUAAUUCAUUAAAUCGUACAUGCAUCAUACUUGGUUGCACAUCAUGCCAUGUUUAUGCUUGUUGGUUAACCAUGUUGUUUGCUUCUUUCCGGUCGUGCUUCUACUCGAUAGUUUCGGUUACGUUGCGAUUGUGACGAUUUAUUCGACUACGUUGGUUCGUCUACUUCAUGGAUUCGGUCUUCUUCCUAGCGGGAUUUCAGGCAAGAUGAUCAUUAUCAUGGAUACCACUACUAUCUUUGCUUUGCUAGUUGUCUCGAUGUUAUCGCUAUGUGACGCUACCUACCACUUGUUUAUCAAGCCUCCCAAUAUGCCAUGAUAAGCCUCUAACCAUUUCCACCAUCCCAACAAACUGUUGUUUGGCUAUGUUCCGCUUUGCUCAGCCCCUCUUAUAGCGUUGAUAGUUGCAGGUGCAGUUUUAGGUUGUUCCAUGUUGGGACAUGGAUAUCAUGGGAUGUCAUAGUAUCUCUUAUUUUAAUUAAUGCAUCUAUAUACUUGGUAAAGGGUAUAAGGCUCGGCCUUUUGCCUGGUGUUUUAUUCCACUCUUGCUGCCCUAGUUUCUGUCAUACCGAUGUUAUGUUCCUUGAUUUUGCGUUCCUAACACGAUCGGGGUUUAUGGGCCCCCCUUGACAGUUCGCUUUGAAUAAAAAUCUUCCAGCAAGGCCCAACAUUGGUUUUACAUUUGCGUAAUAACAACUAAAACUGGCAUAGGGACUUCCCGGGCACUGAGGAUAAUUAAUCAACAACCCGUGCCAAUGCUCCUCAUGAGUGUUGGUCCAAACUGGCAGUAGCCGGGGCCACCAACGGGUGUACUAUAUUUCUCUCUCAAGUAUAUUGCUAGUCCCUCUUAUGUCACAAAUUAAUCUUGCAACGGCCACCUUUGGGAGAUCACGGCGUACAAAUUAGUGACUAUAAUAUACCAUGAAUUAUUAGCAACAAAAAUCAAUUUGCUCUAUAAAUAUUUGACCGUAAAAUGCUAGGCCACCUUGGUGACAAACAAGCAUGCUCUCCAAUAAAUAUUUAUUCGGCAAGAAUAUGAUCAUCUAUGGAACGCAAUGCCAUAAUGCGAGCAAUGAUCAAAAUUAAAGAAUGGCAACAAGUCUUGUUCCGUAGGAUGAGAAAAAGAAUAGAUCGACAGAAUAACGGAUCAAAAUCUCGACUUUAAUGUGAAUCAGAAGUGUUGCAACAACAAGGCUCUGAUACCAAAUGUAAGCGAAAAUUUCUUUAAAUGCGGAAGAUUAGCAAUACAAAUGAUUCAACAAAACAUGCAUGAGAUUUUUCCGUUCAUGAUCCGAGUGUACCUUGCUCCAUCACGAGACCUUUCGAAGUCGAUUCCACCGUUGUCGAACGUUCUUCUUUUCUCUACUUCUUUACUUCACAAGUUCCUCAGAUGGAUGAAGAACCAAACGUUUCAGCAUGUGUGUAUAUGCAUUCUUUACUUGUGUCGUCUAAAACGGCAGCGCUUCCGCGAGCACUAGAUGCAGAGAGCGUCACCAUAAUGAAGUACUGCGAUAAGGGCAGAGGCAACGUCCAUUUAUAUGAUUCGUACGGAUGCGUCGUCGCUUCGAACGGAUGCGUCGUUUGCUGAAGCCGUUUCCGUCCCAACUGUACACAUGCAAACGCAUGUUGUGAGACGCGUCUUCAACCAGUCGCAACCCAACGAAAGGACGUGGCCCCAUUCGCACAUGCAUGCUAAUUAGCCUUGUGCUAAUUACGCCACUGCCUCUGAUCCAUGUACCUGCACCUGAUUGGCUAAUUCAUGCACUCACGGAUAUAUUAAUCCAUGUACUUGCACCGGUACUUAGCCAUCACCAGGCACUUGACUGAAUAUAACAAAGCUAGCUAGCUUCAUAUACAUGUAUCCAUCUAGCUUUGACAUACACAUACACACACACCUAUACGUGUGUGAAACUUAUAGAGAGAGAUAAGAGGGAAUUAAAACCCAGACUUUAAUCUAUUAUUUCUAGCAACGAUCAUACUAGAACUCUUAAUUAAAAUCUCACUAUAAUUUACAUUGGCCACAUAAAAUAUUCUUACAUUUCCACCAUCCCAACAAACUGUUGUUUGGCUAUGUUACCGCUUUGCUCAGCCCCUCUUAUAGCGUUGAUAGUUGCAGGUGCAGUUUCAGGUUGUUCCAUGUUGGGACAUGGAUAUCAUGGGAUGUCAUAGUAUCUCUUAUUUUAAUUAAUGCAUCUAUAUACUUGGUAAAGGGUAUAAGGCUCGGCCUUUUGCCUGCUGUUUUAUUCCACUCUUGUCGCCCUAGUUUCUGUCAUACCGGUGUUAUGUUCCUUGAUUUUACGUUCCUAACACGAUCGGGGUUUAUGGGCCCCCCUUGACAGUUUGCUUUGAAUAAAACUCUUUCAGCAAGGCCCAACAUUGGUUUUACCAUUUGCGUAAUAACAACUAAAACUGGCAUAGGGACUUCCCGGGCACCGAGGAUAAUAAAUCAACAACCCGUGCCAAUGCUCCUCAUGAGUGUUGGUCCAAACUGGCAGUAGCCGAGGCCACCAACGGGUGUGCCAGCCAGAAAAUUAGCCAAUCCGACCGUGGCCUGAGACGAGAUACGCGCGGCUACUAUCAGGGUGUCAGCACGUCAGGAGGUCUUGCUGGUUUUGUUUUACCAUUGUCGAAAUUUCUUGUGAACCAGGAUUCCGAGCUUGAUUGGGUUGUUCCGGAAUGGAGGAUUUUCCUCCGCAGAUCAUGAGAGUUUGUGAUGGACUAAGUUGGGACACCCCUACAGGGUUUAAUCUUUUCGAGAGUCGUGCCCACGGUUAUGUGGCAGAUAGGAAUUGAUAAUAUUCGUUUAUAGAGAACUUGACACUAGAUCCAAAUUAAAAUACACCAACUGCGUGUGUAACUGUGACCGUCUCUUUCCAAGGGAGUUCGGGAAGAGAACAUGGUGGGGUUAUGAUUGACUCGUCAGUAGUUUAGGAUCACUUAUUGAUCAUUAAUAGUUGUGACCGUUAUGCGUAGAAACUCUUCUUACUCUUGUACUCGUAAGUUAGCCACCAUAUAAUGCUUAUUGCUUGCUGCAACCUCACCACUUAUCCAUUCCAUACCCAUUAAGGUUUGCUAGACUUGAUACCCAUGGUAAUGGGAUUGUUGAGUCCUCGUGGCUCACAGAUUACUACAACAACAGUUGCAGGUACAGGAAAUGCGAUGUUAUGACGUGAGAGCGAUGCUUGCUUGAUUUGGAGUUCUUGUGCUUCUUCUUCUUCGAUCAAGGGAUAGGUACUGGGUCGGGAGCCUGGGAUUAGCAGGGUGGAUGCCGUUCUUCUUUUUCGUUUAAUUUCAUCCGUAGUCGGAUCCUGCUCUUCUGUAUGAUGAUUGCUAUUUUUUGAUGUACUAUUGUAUUCAUGUUGUAGCUUGUGGUGAGUGUAAGCCUUUAUCUUGUAUUCUCAUCUAUUCAGUACAUGGUAUGUUGUAAUGAUAUCCACCUUGCUAUGAGCUCGAAAUGCGGUUGUGCCCCAAUCAUGAGUGCAUCAUGUGAUUGCGAUAGAAUCGCAUCUUGGGCGCUGCACCUAGCACACCCAGACCAAUUGCUUAGC
rnacentral:lncRNA from 1 species